rnacentral:tRNA from 5 species
GCUGGUGUAGCUCAACUGGCAGAGCAUCUGUCUUGUAAACAGAAUGUUACAGGUUCAAUUCCUGUCAUCAGCU